GGGGGCGAACGGUUUCGACGGGGGUAAGCCUUCUCGGGAAGCGAGCCGAGGUUUCUCACCGUCCUCGUAAAAAAACGGUGGGAAAAAGUUAAGUGCCAACGAUUACGUUCCAGUUGCUGCCUAAUUAGAUAGACAGCCGUUCUCUACGAAGGUUGGCUGACCUUUCGUAGCAGGGCGCGACAAAGUCAGCCGAGUGGUCAGAAUGUACCUCACGUUCUGCACCACUUAGACAGUGGGGUUGGUCGGUCUAAAGCCUGUCUGUGGGCGUUAGACUGACGAGAUUCAAAUCACAGACUGCGCUCGGAGAAGCCCGUGGAGACUUGCUUUCGGACGCGGGUUCGAUUCCCGCCGCCUCCACCA
rnacentral:tmRNA from 1 species